GAUGAUCUCCCGCUUGCGGGGGUGAUUAGUGGCGAACGGGUGAGUAAUACGUGAGUAACCUGCCCUUGACUCUGGGAUAAGCCUGGGAAACCGGGUCUAAUACUGGAUACUACUUCCUGCCGCAUGGUGGGGGGUGGAAAGGGUUCUACUGGUUUUGGAUGGGCUCACGGCCUAUCAGCUUGUUGGUGGGGUAAUGGCUCACCAAGGCGACGACGGGUAGCCGGCCUGAGAGGGUGACCGGCCACACUGGGACUGAGACACGGCCCAGACUCCUACGGGAGGCAGCAGUGGGGAAUAUUGCACAAUGGGCGGAAGCCUGAUGCAGCGACGCCGCGUGAGGGAUGACGGCCUUCGGGUUGUAAACCUCUUUCAGCAGGGAAGAAGCCACAAGUGACGGUACCUGCAGAAGAAGCGCCGGCUAACUACGUGCCAGCAGCCGCGGUAAUACGUAGGGCGCAAGCGUUGUCCGGAAUUAUUGGGCGUAAAGAGCUCGUAGGCGGUUUGUCGCGUCUGCUGUGAAAGCCCGGGGCUCAACCCCGGGUCUGCAGUGGGUACGGGCAGACUAGAGUGCAGUAGGGGAGACUGGAAUUCCUGGUGUAGCGGUGAAAUGCGCAGAUAUCAGGAGGAACACCGAUGGCGAAGGCAGGUCUCUGGGCUGUUACUGACGCUGAGGAGCGAAAGCAUGGGGAGCGAACAGGAUUAGAUACCCUGGUAGUCCAUGCCGUAAACGUUGGGCACUAGGUGU
rnacentral:rRNA from 1 species